rnacentral:rRNA from 1 species
UACGUAGGGGGCAAGCGUUAUCCGGAUUUACUGGGUGUAAAGGGAGCGUAGACGGCCAUUCGAGCCAGAUGUGAAAGCCCGGGGCUCAACCCCGGGACUGCAUUUGGAACUGUAUGGCUGGAGUGUCGGAGAGGCAGGCGGAAUUCCUAGUGUAGCGGUGAAAUGCGUAGAUAUUAGGAGGAACACCAGUGGCGAAGGCGGCCUGCUGGACGAUGACUGACGUUGAGGCUCGAAAGCGUGGGGAGCAAACAGG